AGUGCUGUGUUGUGAAAUGGAGGUCUCGAUGGGGGUCAGUGCACAAGUUUACAGGGGGACAAGACUGCAGCAGAUGAACAUGAAUUGUUUAGUCACAUCCGAGUGCCAUCUUCACUGAGGAGAUAAAGGGACAAUCAGAAAAAGGCUACGAGAGAGAGAGAAGGGUUUGAGUAUGGAGAUGGACAGCAGAGGUGAAUAAAUAAGUAAACUAUUGAGAGAAUGUUAGUUAAAGAGCCAGAGGAUGGAAGGAGGGGAUGCCUUCUGACCAAUGCCGUAUAAAAACAACUGUAUAUGUGAAUACAUACACAUUGCUUCUGACAGGCUCAAUGGGAAAUCUCUGUAUUUGUUUUGUUUCAAUAGAAAGACCUGUAAUUCAACUGUGUCUGUGCAGAGUGAGAGAAGACUCAUGGAAGGAAUCUAUUGAUGCCUGAAGGGAGUCGGGGCUGAUUGGUGAAGUCAUUUACUGUAAGCACAGUUGGACAGAAGGCAUUGUCUGCUGAGAGGUUAAAGUGACAAAGGAGGUGUGUGUGUGUGUAGUGGUGCGUGAGGGAUACCUCGGCGUCGCCAGAGCCAGGAGAAUGAGGCGGAGGUGUGCCAGUGGACCCCAGAGGGGGGAGGAAAGACCCCCAAGUUGAGGAGGAGCCCUCCACAUCCACCAGAGAGGUUAUAGGCACUAUGGUGUUACAGGAUCGGUUGCAGACACUUGAUCCUGUCAACAGAGACACACGGGGCAUGAAAUAAUAAACAAUUCACUGUAAAGCUCACAACAACAGUUCUUGUGGUGAGAUGUUACCCCACCCUUCCACCAAGGCACCUGCAAGUUCCCGGACAUUUCUCGGGGGAAUGGCCCUAGCCCUCACCCUCCGAUCCAAUAGGUCCCAGACGUGCUCAAUGGGAUUGAGAUCCUGGCUCUUCACUGGCCAUGGCAGAACACUGACAUUCCUGUCUUGCAGGAAAUCAUACACAGAAUGAGCAGUAUUGCUGGUGGCAUUAUCAUGCUGGAGGGUCAUGCCAGGAUGAGCCUGCAGGAAGGGUAACACAUGAGGGAGGAGGACGUCUUCCCUGUAACGCACAGCGUUGAGAUUGCCUGCAAUGACAACAAGCUCAGUCUGAUGAUGUUGUGACACACCACCCCAGACCAUGACGGACCCUCCACCUCCAAAUUGAUCCCGCUCCAGAUUACAGGCCUCGGUGGAACGCUCGUUCCUUCGACGAUAAACGCGAAUCCGACCAUCACCCCUGGUGAGACAAAACUGCAACUCGUCAGUGAAGAGCACUUUUUGCCAGUCCUGUCUGGUCCAGCGACGGUGGGCUUGUGCCCAUAGGUAACGCUGUUGCCUGGUAUCCUGCACCUGUCCCGCAGGUGUGAUGCUUGAAUGUACCGAUCCUGUGCAGGUGUUGUUACACGUGGUCUGCCAUUGCGAGGACAAUCAGCUGUCCAUCCGGUCUCCCUGUAGCGCUGUCUUAGCCAUCUCACAGUACGGACAUUGCAAUGUAUUUCCCUGGCCACAUCUGCAGUCCUCAUGCCUCCUUGCAGCAUGCCUAAGGCAAGUUCACGCAGAUGAGCAGGGACCCUGGGCAUCUUUCUUUUGGUGUUUUUCAGAGUCAGUAGAAUGUCCUCUUCAGUGUCCUAAGUUUUCAUAACUGUGAACUUAAUUGCCUACAGUAUGUAAGCUGUUAGUGUCUUAACGACUGUUCCACAGGUGCAUAUUCAUUCAUUGUUUAUGGUUCAUUGACCAAGCAUGGGAAACAGUGUUUAAACCCUUUACAAUGAAGAUCUACAAUGAAGAAAGUUAUUUGGAAUUCUUUUUGAAAGAUGGUCCUGAAAAAGAUACGUAAAUUAUUUUUCCUGAGUUUAUGAGCAGAAUUACUGUCUUACCCAGUGGCAUGUCCAGGGGGUGACACCCCCUGAAAUCUGAUUG